UUACAGAUGAGGCACCUGAGGCACAGAGAAGCUGUGUCUUGCCUACGGCCAAACAAUUACUACUUAGUAGUAAUCAGAGGUGAAGAAGUACUGGAGACAGCUGCGACGUUAUGAGCUUUUAAAGCCUGGAAGAGCAAGCCCAAAGUUUGUUGACAGCAAGCCUGGCACACCAGUGAAACUCUAAGGAAGCUCCUUGUCCUUUGGGACUAGGCAAGCCUAGAAUUUGGUCUGAUCCAGGAAGACAGAACAGUCUGGAAACAGACAGGAUCAAGCUUUCCUUUCCUGGUCUUUUUAGGAUUUUCCUCCCAUGUGGGUUUCAUGAUGCUGAAUCAAGUUGGAACCAGACCGAAAGCCUUUCCCACACUGCAGGCAUUUAUACGGUUUUUCCUCUAUGUGGGUACCCUGGUGGAUGAUGAGGUUGGAGCUUCGGCUGAAGACCUUCUCACAGGAUGGGCAUUUAUAAGACUGUGGUCUGUGCACUGGCGUGGAAUACACCCUGCUCAAGCCAUGAAAGUGGAAUUCUGCUCUGGCUUUGCUACUUGCUGGACUUGGUGCUUUAUCCAGACCUCCAUUUCCUUCUCGGUAAAAUGAGACACUUGGACUAGAUCUCCAAGGUUUUUUAAAGUGCUAACAUUCCACAAUACACUUUGCUAGUUGUUCUUUCUGUUCA